UACGUAGGGGGCAAGCGUUGUCCGGAAUCAUUGGGCGUAAAGAGCGUGUAGGCGGCCCUGUAAGUCCGCUGUGAAAGUCGGGGGCUCAACCCUCGAAUGCCGGUGGAUACUGUCGGGCUAGAGUGCGGAAGAGGCGAGUGGAAUUCCUGGUGUAGCGGUGAAAUGCGCAGAUAUCAGGAGGAACACCGGUGGCGAAGGCGGGUCUCUGGGCCGAUACUGACGCUGAGGAGCGAAAGCGUGGGGAGCGAACAGG
rnacentral:rRNA from 1 species